UAGGAGGCGAGGAGAAUUUUUUGAACUUAUAAGAAAAAAUCAAUUCAAUUUGGAAGAUCCUCAUCAAAAGGAGUUGUUUUUGGCAAUGCUGAUGACAGCUUGUGAUCUUUCUGCAAUUACAAAACCCUGGCCUAUUCAACAACGGAUAGCAGAACUUGUAGCAACUGAAUUUUUUGAUCAAGGAGACAGAGAGAGAAAAGAACUCAACAUAGAACCCACUGUAAGUAUGAAACCUUGUUGGUAGGAAUUAUUCAAAUUGUUUUUUUUUUAAUUGUAGACUCCUUUUUAUGGCUCUAUGGGAUCUUUCCUUAGGACCACAAUUUCUCAUUUUAUUUUUUAAAACUUUUUUCUCAUUGGAAGAAUUAUACAUGUUCAUUACAGAAAGCAAAACCAAUAAAAGGCAUAAUAAAG
rnacentral:lncRNA from 1 species